GCCUGGUGAUGGCUCCCCAAGGUGUCCUGUCCCAGGUGCAGCUGCAGGAAUCGGGCCCAGGACUGGUGAAGCCCUCGCAGACCCUCACCCUCACCUGCACUGUCUCUGGAGUCUCCAUCACAACCAGCUAUUACUGCUGGAGCUGGAUCCGCCAGCCACCAGGGAAGGGGCUGGAGUGGAUUGGGGGCAUAUAUUACAGUGGUAGCACUUACUACAGCUCAUCCCUCAAGAGCCGCACCUCCAUCUCCAGAGACACAUCCAAGAAUCAAUUCUCCCUGCAAUUGAGCUCCGUGACCACUGAGGACACGGCCGUGUAUUACUAUGCAAGAGACACAGUGAGGGGAAGUCAGCUUGAGGCCAUGCCCUGUGCUCCAAGCAAGGACAUCCGGGAAUGUCUAUGCAGAGAGGACCACCUGCUGACCCAGUCCCCUGCCCGGGGUAUCCCAGAAGAAAAAGGAUUGAAUGGCUGUGGAGUGUGA